GUCUCUGUUUAUCUUUUUGGACGGAGCUGCUCCAUCGGUAUGACGUGAGCACGCUCCGGGCUCCCUAUCUAUCUCGAUAUCUGAAUGGCACCGGAGCGGAGAGAGGAUGUGCCAAGAAAGCUGGAAGAGGCACCUCGCAGUUUUGUUUUUUUUAGUUUUUUUAUGCAGGCCAGCGAAGAGAUCCGACGCACGAGCGAGACUGAAACCCCGCUUCUCAAGAAACAGACUGUGAGCCGGUGAACGCGGGUCGUUGGUUCCAUCAUAUUGAAGGGAAAGCCCAUCCCUUGAUGCCAUGAUACCGGUCCGCGCGGUUCAGUGCAUCGCCGGAGUGAUGACGUGCCUCAUUGACUCCAGUUACUCCUGGACAUCCCUGUAAUACAUUUCGACAGCCUCCACGGAUGUGUGGAUAGAAUGUGUGGUGAUGAAUGGAUUUUUUUAUUUUCCUGUGAGAGAACUGCAACGGGCCCCGGCUGCAUCCAAGGACGGACAACAACCCAAGAAGAAGCGGAGCCGUCAGACAUAGUUUUAGCCCAGUGCUUUGAAAAUCAAACAAUAACGUCAGACUCUCAGUGUUCCAGUCAUGCAUUAACACACAGCUUGAGGACAAUGCUGGAGGACAUUGAUCCAUACAAACAAGGGAAACUGUGAGUUUUUUAAUGGCCGAGGACUUCAGACAGCUUGUGACUGUAAAAACCAAGUAUUAAAUAUUACGACUUACUCUUUGCUCCAUUUGAAUUUAUACAAUAAGUGUUGUUCUUUUAAAAAUUGGGAAGAUACGGAUAUGAAUCAGGCCACACUUUCAACACUGUUUCUCCAAUGAGGAUCCUUAUAUCAUAACCCUUACAACAAAGACAAACGGCAGAAAACAUUUUAGUGUCGGUUCGUGAGACUGAGUGUCACUAUGGCACAGAUUCAGAACUGGUUUGAUGUUACCAGGAAACCAUUUGGUCACCAAAAUAUGGUAGGUUCAACCAUAUGGUAGGUAUGGUUCUAUCCAUCCAUCCGUCGUCUUCUGCUUAUCCGAGGUCGGCCUUGUUCCAGACAUCCCUCGCCACAGCUACGCUUCCCAGCUGCUUCUGAGGGACCCUGAGGCGUUUCCAGGCCAGAUGGAACACGUAAUCCCUCCAGCAAGUUCUAGGUCUUCUCCGGGGUCUCCUCCCAGCUGGGUACGCCCGGAAAACCCUCCAGUGGACGGCGCCCAGGAGGGGAUCCGACCAAACUCAACUGGGCCCUUUCAACGCACAGGAGCAGCCGCUCUUCUCUCCGGAUGGCCAAACUCCUCUCAGUCUCCAAGGCUGAACUGCUCUGAUAUUUUUUUUCAACUAGUCCAUUUAAAUGAGACCAAUCAAAGUUAUCCACUUCCCCCCCGUUAUUGGUCUCAAUGCUGUGGCUGAUCGAUGUACAUGCAUGCACGAAUGUGGCAUGUGGCAAGAGCUCACGUUACUGCAUUUUUCAUAACUCUCCACUUCCUCCUCUGUUGCUGCUCGCAGAGGGUUCAAGUCCCUCGGUUUCACCCACAGCGUGGCCACGUGGCGCAGCAAACACCUAAUCAUCCAGUCGGUUUAUCGCUGCGGGUACACAGUAAGUUCCUGCAUGCGGGGAACAUAUCACAACAAAACCAAUCAGUGGUCUGCCGGGAGAUGAAACUUUGAAACAUAACGCACUGUCUGGAGGUGAGAAUCAAAUGAAAUGAUUUUAAAAUGCCGCCCCCUUGGCUGGUGCCUGGAAUACAACCCGUCAGUUUAUCAGUAAAUAAUAGGAGAUCCAUUGAAUUGAUCGGCCACUCAGCAGCUGCGCCACGCGGCCGUCAAAGUGACACGGGAAGUAAGGGGUUCACUGGUACCAGUCCGUCAGUGACUGGGUUUCUCGCACAGGCAGCAACAUGCCAUUUUGGAAAACAAGCUUCUCCAUCGCACCGGUGGUCAGAAGUGAUACAAAUGUGCCCCACCUCUCUCUGAAGCAUGCGCUCGCAAGAAUCAAUAUGCCUGGGUCGGGAAAACCCCCGCCUCACUUCUUCGACCCAGAACAGGCCAGAUGAGUGACCCUGACGGGGCCUUGGCCGUAAUGACGAACGAGAGCCUCCUCUUCAAACGUUGGCAGAUCCUCUUGAGUUCAUAUCUCCACAGAAUGUAAAUGUAUCAUUAUGCUACUGGGAUUUAAUUUGGAGCAGAAGAGUUACAUAUUCAGCAGUUUACCAAAAGUCUUCAACUUGAUUGUCUGAGCUGUGCAAAGUCGGCCGAUCUACAGGAGCUUGCUUGCUGCGUGUUCCACCUAGCGCCACUGCAGUGAUUAAGAAACAGGUUCGACAAGUGGCUGGUUUCACCAUAAGACAACAUGCGUUAUGCUCCACGUACUACCUACGAAACCCACAGAGGCACGAGCAGGUGAAGAGCAGCAAACAAAAGCACUCACAGUGGAUUAAAGAUCAGCCGUCUGAGGCCAAUUUUUGAAUUGGGAAAUGGGCAUACAUGUGGGACAAGGGUAAUGACAUCGCCUUCUCCGAGGCACUCAUGAAUAAUUCAGUCAGACACAGUGUCUUGAAUAGGCCUACUCAUGUUUUUUUGUUUGUUUUUUUAUCUCCGGGCCAUCCUUGUCACGGAUAUGUGACAUCUGGGAAGGACAAAAUCUAAUGAGAUGAUGGUGGAGCUUUCACAGGCCACAUAGCAACGGCAGCAACCUUGAUGACCUGAUUAAACUGGACAUUGUCAACAAGGUGCUUAUAGGACAUCUCGUGCACAAUCUUCAACAAUCCCAAAACCCACAAGUUUACCUGAUGAGUGUGUCAUCAUCAACAAUGAGAAGCCAAUCAGCCUUCGGCACAGCUUUACUGAGGAACCGCCUCAAGAUGGCGAAUGUCUUCCCACAAUGCCCUGCAGGGACACGACAUAAAGACAACAAGUGUGAGAAGGAUGGAGCGGGGUUCACCAGUUCUGAUCCUGGAGGUUUGUGACUCAUAAAACGUCCGAGGAGCAGAAACCUAAAAAAAAAAACCCGAAGGACUGAGGGAGACAGAAUGUGAGUCUGAGUGUGUACGUGAC